GACCUGGUGAACCUCUCAUUCCUGUCCUGACCCUGCCAUGGGCACCAGGCUCCUCUGCUGGGUGACCCUCUGUCUCCUGGGGGCAGAGCCCACAGAUGCUGGAGUCACCCAAACACCCAGGCAUAAAGUGACAAAGAUGGGACAAACGGUGACUCUGAAUUGUGAGCCAAUUUCAGGCCAUACCUACCUUUACUGGUACAGACAGACCUUGGAGCAGGGACCAAAGUUUCUCAUUUACUUCAGCAGUCAAAUGCCUGUCGAUAACAGUGGGAUGCCCAAGGAACGAUUCUCAGCUAAGAUGCCCGAUGGAUCAUUCUCCACUCUGGAGAUCCAGCCCACAGAACCUGGGGACUCAGCCAUGUACUUCUGUGCCAGCAGGUUAGCCACAGCGCUGCAGAGUCACCCCCUCCCUGUGCAGAAACCCUCCUGCUUCCCCUUCUCACAUCAGCUGUCCUGUCAAAUAAAGAUCUUCUCUGGCCUCACUCACCAGGAGAAAUGA